AGCUUUAUAUUCAAUAAUGAUAAUAGAUUGCAAAUCUAAAGGAGUAAAAAUUUUUACUAAAGCUU
rnacentral:tRNA from 1 species